rnacentral:rRNA from 1 species
CCUACGGGAGGCUGCAGUGAGGAAUAUUGGUCAAUGGGCGGGAGCCUGAACCAGCCAAGCCGCGUGCGGGAAGAAGGUACUACGUAUCGUAAACCUCUUUUGUCAGGGAACAAAGGCGGGGACUAGUCCCCGGAUGAGGGUACCUGAAGAAACAGCAUCGGCUAACUCCGUGCCAGCAGCCGCGGUAAUACGGAGGAUGCGAGCGUUAUCCGGAUUUAUUGGGUUUAAAGGGUGCGCAGGCGGCCUGUUAAGUCAGCGGUAAAAUCCCGGGGCUCAACCGCGGCGAGCCGUUGAAACUGGCGGUCUUGAGUUGGCGAGAAGUAGGCGGAAUGCGUGGUGUAGCGGUGAAAUGCUUAGA